CCUACGGGAGGCAGCAGUAGGGAAUCUUCCGCAAUGGACGAAAGUCUGACGGAGCAACGCCGCGUGAGUGAUGAAGGUUUUCGGAUCGUAAAACUCUGUUGUUAGGGAAGAACAAGUACCGUUCAAAUAGGGCGGUACCAUGACGGUACCUAACCAGAAAGCCACGGCUAACUACGUGCCAGCAGCCGCGGUAAUACGUAGGUGGCAAGCGUUGUCCGGAAUUAUUGGGCAUAAAGCGCGCGCAGGCGGUCCUUUAAGUCUGAUGUGAAAGCCCACGGCUCAACCGUGGAGGGUCACUGGAAACUGGGGGACUUGAGUGCAGAAGAGGAAAGUGGAAUUCCAUGUGUAGCGGUGAAAUGCGUAGAGAUGUGGAGGAACACCAGUGGCGAAGGCGACUUUCUGGUCUGUAACUGACGCUGAGGCGCGAAAGCGUGGGGAGCAAACAGGAUUAGAUACCCUGGUAGUCCACGCCGUAAACGAUGAGUGCUAAGUGUUAGGGGGUUUCCGCCCCUUAGUGCUGCAGCUAACGCAUUAAGCACUCCGCCUGGGGAGUACGGCCGCAAGGCUGAAACUCAAAUGAAUUGACGGGG
rnacentral:rRNA from 1 species